rnacentral:ncRNA from 1 species
AACAAUCCUAACUGUUGCUCCGAGAAUGAAAGUUAAUCUAGGGAUAACGCGUUGAUCUCCCUGAAAAGUUCGCAUUGACUGUAAAGGUUGGCACUUGAAUCUCGGCUCGUCGCACCCUGAAGCUAAAAUAGGUGGGAAGGCUUGGCCUGCUCGCCCGAAAAAGCGACACGUGAGCCGGGAUCAGAACGCCGCGGAAUAGCUCGGUC